rnacentral:ncRNA from 1 species
GUGAAGUAUGUUAUUUAAUUCGAUAAUCCGCGAAUAAUCUUACCACGCCUUGAAUUGUUCUUCUACAAGCGCUGCACGGCUGUCUUCAGUUGAUGUCGUGAGACUUUGGUUAAUUCCUUUAAUCAACGAAAGCCCUUGUAUUAUUUAUAUACAUUAAUACAUCUUUACUAUAUAUAGGUAUGAGUAAAAGGGAUCAAGACAAGUCAUCAUGGCCUUAAUGGCGUGGGCUAUAGACGUGCUGCAUACGCCUCUACAAAGAGAAGCUAUAUUGCGAAAUGGAGCUAAUCUUUAAAAGUGGAUAUAGUAUAUUGUGGAUUGUAGUCUGAAACUCGACUACAUGAAUUAGAAAUUAC